UACGGAGGGUGCGAGCGUUAAUCGGAAUUACUGGGCGUAAAGCGCACGUAGGCGGUUGGGUAAGACGGAUGUGAAAGACCUGGGCUUAACCUGGGAACUGCAUUCGAUACUGCCCGGCUAGAGUAUGGGAGAGGGAAGCGGAAUUUCCGGUGUAGCGGUGAAAUGCGUAGAUAUCGGAAGGAACACCAAUGGCGAAGGCAGCUUCCUGGCCCAAUACUGACGCUCAGGUGCGAAAGCGUGGGGAUCAAACAGG
rnacentral:rRNA from 1 species